UUAUAGGUAUAUGAUGAGAAUGCUUCGUACAGUAGCAAUGAAGUGCUGUAAUAAGGUAGUGAUUGCCAAGAAGAGUUCACACAGCUGGCAAAGACUCAAAAUUCAUCCCAAAAAGACAUCGGGUGGAGUGAGGGGCUCAUUCGGUAGUGGUAGUGAUUGCUAAUUCAUAUAACAUUUCCUCUUAAAAUUUGUGUGCUGAG